rnacentral:lncRNA from 1 species
AUUCGAACCCAUAUCAACACAAGGGCCAAUUUUGCAUACAACUUUGCAGCCCAUAUCACUAUUUACGUCUCAAUUGGAAGCUACAUAAAAGUGAAAUUGAACUCUUGUUAUUCAAGUUUGAAACUAUUGAUUGAAUAUUACGAACCGGCGAAUUCCAAUUACACUUGCUUAUGAUUAAGCUAAAACUAAACCUAUUUUUGAAAUACUAUGGAUGAUUUUCAUAAACCACCAUUACAAUACUCAUAAGUCCAAGAACACAUUCAGCCAAACUAAUGGGUGAACAUAUGAGCAACUGAAUAGGAUUAACAUAUUACCAAACUAAAAUGACUCAGCAUACUCAGAAGUCCAAGAACACAUUAUACCAAAACUAACGGGUAAACAUAUGAGCAAGUGAAUAGGAUUACCAUACUACUAAACGAAAAUGACUCGGCAGCUUAUUUCAGCAAGAAGCCAAUUACAAUUACAAGACUCUUUCAUCAUGCGUGUAUACCAAAAUUGUCUACUCAGUAUUACAACAGUACCAAUCUAUAUACAAAUGAAGUUAUCUACUUAACAUAAAGAUUGACUAAACGUGUAGAACAUGCUCAAUAAGGAAAGAAAACCAAAAUGAAACAGGAUAGAACAAAAGAUAGUUGAAAUGAGGCUUUCAAAUCCUUUUCACAUUUUUAUUCUUCAACUCAAAAAUUCACAAUCAAUAAAGCUUUACAAUGUGUACCUGAAAUAAGAUGGAAACCAAAAUCCAAGCAGGGUCAGUUAGCUAGCAGCUUAGUAGCACAGCAGCAGGUUUGAGCAAAAAUCCAACUCAAAAUAAGUGACACACUAGUAGAAACCCAGGACCCAACUUUGAACUAGUUUCCAAACACAAAUCAACUCAUUUUUUACCUCAAGUGAACCAGAAAAGAUUCAAAACUUGGAAAAAUUUCAGAAAUCCUAAACAAAAGAUCAAUGAAACAGUGAAAAUUUCAAACAAACUGAACCCAAAGCAUUUCCAACACACGAUCAAACAAGUUUCACUCAAAAGGACUCAGCAAUUGUUUGGUAAUCAAGGAAACAGCUUAAAAUUUCGGGCAGAAUGCCAAUGGAAUAGUAUUUUUCCUAAAUUUGUAGUCGUCUCCUCUUUUUAUGAUUAUCUUAGCCUUUUCCUCCUCCUUUUAGCUUAAGUUCUCAAAUGCCUUUUAUAGGCUAAACAUUAGUGCAACCUUCGGAUUUUGUUUUGCUCUUUUAGUCCCUGAUUUUGCCACUUGUUAGCCAAUUCAUAGUGUCAAAAUUAAAACCAGGCCCUGUUAGAAGCUUUUGAAGCUUCUUUAAAUAGUUAUCCAAGAUUCUCUACCCUAAAAUUCCCAGACUACCCUUUAAAUCCCUGUUUAUUAUCUUUUUAAACCUGCUAGGUCAAUUGGCCAAGCCAAUUGGGCCACAGAUCCAACAUUGAAUCCCUACUUGGGCUUGUUGCUAAGACCCAUUAAAACUAAACCAAAAUCCCCCAACAGACCCAAAACUAUUCUUCCAAAGGCAAACGAAACAAAACGCCAAAUAAAUGAGUAAAACACUAUGAUUUAAUAACAGCAAAUCAAUAAUGAACCUAUCUUCCUUAACUGUGCAAUUGAACUGAUUAACAAGCAUUAAACGCUUAUCAGCAUGAAAACUAUAGACCACAAGCCAGAGUGACUCAAAAGUUCAUAUGGUUUAGUUGACACAAGGAAAGAAAAGGGCCUAGUUUAUGCUAAAAAUACCCUAACAAAUUUCGACCACCCAGAGAAAAGGGAUGAGGAAGAAAGUGAAAGAAAAAUUGAAAGAAAGGAGGGAGAAACUUACUCAAUCAUAGCUCGAACUAGGGUCGCUCCUUGAUAAAUUCAUUGGUAUUAGCCUUGCAUGCUAUCCCGGAUUCGAGAUUGGUCAGUUUUGAGAGGCUAGGUUUUCCAAUUAGACCUUCAUUCAAAGAUUCAACCAAUUAGGCUUGAUUCGAGGGAAAGUAUUUGUAGAUUUGCGGAGUGAGGAUGGAGAAGAGUGUAGGGUGUAUUUUUGGAGUUAAUUGGAGGCCGGUCGCGGCAGAGAAAUCAAGGGCGACGCCCUAGGGUUUGGGAAUAGCGGUGGUUUCUAGUGAGGUUUGAGGGAAGUGAAUGGUGAAACGAGUAUGAGGAGGAGGAGAUGAGUCUUUGGUAUAACUUUGGUGGCUAUAGGGGACUUGCCUCCACCGCGAAGCGAUGCGGCUGCAGUGGAUGGUGGCGUUACAUGGGGUAGUCUGAAGACGAGUUUGAGGGGGUAGGCAGGUGUGUUUAGACAGUUUUAUACUUCCCGUAUGAUCAAUUCUCUACCGUUGAUCUGAUCGAGAUCGAACGGCUCAAAACCAAGCUCAUUAAAAUGGGACCGUUUGGUUUUUAAAGAAAUGGAUUGGGUAUGGGACUGGGUAUGGGCCAGCUUUGGGUUGGUUUAACGGGUAUAUUAACUGGGCUGGGGUAUUGGAGUGGUGUUAGACAGGUU